UGGGGAAUAUUGCACAAUGGGCGCAAGCCUGAUGCAGCGACGCCGCGUGGGGGAUGACGGCCUUCGGGUUGUAAACCUCUUUCGACAGGGACGAAGCUUUGGUGACGGUACCUGUAUAAGAAGCACCGGCUAACUACGUGCCAGCAGCCGCGGUAAUACGUAGGGUGCGAGCGUUGUCCGGAAUUACUGGGCGUAAAGAGCUCGUAGGUGGUUUGUCGCGUCGUCUGUGAAAUUCCGGGGCUUAACUUCGGGCGUGCAGGCGAUACGGGCAUAACUUGAGUGCUGUAGGGGAGACUGGAAUUCCUGGUGUAGCGGUGGAAUGCGCAGAUAUCAGGAGGAACACCGAUGGCGAAGGCAGGUCUCUGGGCAGUAACUGACGCUGAGGAGCGAAAGCAUGGGGAGCGAACAGGAUUAGAUACCCCCGUAGUCC
rnacentral:rRNA from 1 species